rnacentral:rRNA from 1 species
UACGGAGGGUGCAAGCGUUAUCCGGAUUCACUGGGUUUAAAGGGUGCGUAGGUGGGUCUGUAAGUCCGUGGUGAAAUCUCCGAGCUUAACUUGGAAACUGCCAUGGAUACUAUCAGUCUUGAAUAUCGUGGAGGUAAGCGGAAUAUGUCAUGUAGCGGUGAAAUGCUUAGAUAUGACAUAGAACACCAAUUGCGAAGGCAGCUUACUACCCGAAUAUUGACACUGAGGCACGAAAGCGUGGGGAUCAAACAGG